GCUUGUCUCAAAGAUUAAGCCAUGCAUGUCUAAGUAUAAAUGUUAUACAGUGAAACUGCGAAUGGCUCAUUAAAUCAGUUAUAAUUUAUUUGAUAAUACCUUACUACUUGGAUAACCGUGGUAAUUCUAGAGCUAAUACAUGCUAAAAAACCCGACUUCUGGAAGGGUUGUAUUUAUUAGAUAACAAACCAAUAUUCUUCGUGUCUAUUGUGAUGACUCAUAAUAACUGAUCGAAUCGCAUGGUCCUUGACCGCGAUAAAUCAUUCAAGUUUCUGCCCCAUCAGCUUUCGAUGGUAGUGUAUUGGACUACCAUGGCUUUAACGGGUAACGGAGGAUUAGGGUUCGAUUCCGGAGAGGGAGCCUGAGAAACGGCUACCACAUCUAAGGAAGGCAGCAGG
rnacentral:rRNA from 1 species